AAGGAGCCUUUGUCUGAAUUCAAUCAUAUCAUCGAUCACUUUGUAAGUUUCCUAGUCAAGGCAAGGGCAAACCGCAGGGCCCUCAAGGGCCUCAACUUUUGUGUUGUUCUCUCUCUCUCUCUCUCUCUCUCUCUCUCUCUCUCUCUCUCUCUCUCUCACUCACAGAGCUUUACCAAAUUUUCCAUCUUUACUUCUUUUUUUCUUUUUUUUUGGGGCUGAGCAGCCUCAUGGAUUAGUCUCAACUUUGAAUGAAAUGUUAAUGCCUCAAAUCUCAAUGGUCCAAUGUGUCGUUUUCCCUUAAUUUAUAAACAAAUUAUUGAUAAGGUCGGGAUGCUCUUUCUGUAAUUUUAUUGACAUAAAAAGAAAGGGACAGAAGCAGCUCACCACUUGUAACAAAACUGCCACAUUCAACCAAACUCAAACCCCAAGGAACCCUUUAAGGUUCUGCUCUUUCCUCAAGCUUGUUCUGCUUCAGCUUCUUCUUGCCACCUGAAGCAGUCUGCACCAACCGGGCCCAGAUAAGAUCGAUGGUUUUGAUGCAUGAGGUGGCCAAAAAGCUUCCAGCUUGGCUUUAGUGUUUAAUAAGUAUCUGAUAAGACUUGAGGAUAACUUUCAACAGUGGCAACCAAAGUGUUGAUAUUGUUCCAAGAAGCAGCGUUGGGAUCAAAAGGAUGACCAAUGAGGAACUAAAUAUGCUUCCUUGCUUUGACUACAUGGCAGGAGAGAAAGGGACUAGCCUUGUGGAUUGUGCAGUUUGCUUGGAAAAUUUCAAGGCAGGGGAGAGGUGCAGACAGUUGCCUAAUUGCAGGCACAACUUCCAUGCUCAAUGCAUAGACACAUGGUUGUUGAAGACGCCGGUUUGCCCGGUGUGUCGAACUUGUGCUAAAACUCCGAAGAUUGAUGUGAGUUUGGGAGAGGAAAGUAGUGUUGCAGGUGAUUAUCGAAUUGAAUUGACAUAGAAUGAAGGUUACCUUGCAGCCAUUAGCUUCCACACACACUGUUUUCCAUUAAUUGUGAAUAAUGAUGUUCUUGCUUGCUUUUCCCAAAUGAAUUCAAUUCUCGUUCUACUUAAUAUAAUCAUAUCUCAAAUGAUUAUUUUUCAAAAAA